rnacentral:rRNA from 1 species
ACGGCGACCGGCGCACGGGUGAGUAACACGUAUGCGACCUGCCCGUAGCAGGGGGAUAAGCGGAAGAAAUUCCGUCUAAUACCGCGUAAUAUCUUUCGGGGGCAUCCCUGAGGGAUUAAAGGAAGCGAUUCCGGCUACGGAUGGGCAUGCGGCGCAUUAGCUAGUCGGCGGGGUAACGGCCCACCGAGGCGACGAUGCGUAGGGGUUCUGAGAGGAAGGUCCCCACACUGGUACUGAGACACGGACCAGACUCCUACGGAAGGCAGCAG